CUGGGAGUUGCAGUCCACACAUCGUAAAGUUGCCAAGGUUGAGGAACACUGGUCCAGGGUGACACAGCUGUCCUUUUGCAAAUCUACCAAAAGACCUGCAGACUUUCUCAACUCCCCAGAAUACUCACCAAUCCUUCUUCUACGGCGAUGUAAGUAACUUGGCGUCUACCCUUUACCGGGGCUGCCUUCAGCAAUUGUGAGUUGCUCAACUGGGCCAACCCAAAGUCUAAAACCGACCCCUAGUCCUCAAGAAAAUUGAGGAAGAGGGGGGUCUUUAAAAGGGCAAAGCCAGAAAAACUAGAAGUUCGAUUUUAGAAAGAUAUAUUUUGGUUCCACUGCCUCCCCUCCCUCCAAAUCGCCUCUCAGCUCAGCGUGCAUUGGGAACCACUCAGCUGCAUUUUGCCAAAUAAGUUUUCCUUCUUUAUUUUUUCCUUUUGCCCUGUGGACAGCCGAACAAGGAAGACAGAGACUAACCUGGAGUGAAGCUUAAAUGCCUCUUGGGAGUUUCCAUGCAGGCUGUGGGUGGAGACGAGACAAAGUGCAGCUGAUCGGGAGUGAGGGUUUAACCUUUUCCUCCUCCUUCCUCUUGCUAACCCCUCUAUUGAGGCUGCUGUUUGGCCCGCCAGCUUGGAGGUUUCGCUCCAGGAGUGGCUGUUUUGUUCCACUGUUUAUUUAAGUGUUUAAAUAUUGCCUUGACACAUGCACACCGAGGCAAGUUUCUACAGCCCGUUGCUCAAAAUAGAUCACAGUAAAAUGUCUAAUAAUAGCAAGGAAGUCAGCCUACUGGGCAGUUAAUAUAAAUGAUGUCUUAAUGGUACAUUUAAAGGGUGGGCGAGUCAACCAGCCCUUGGGGGCUUAAUUCCACUGCCCGGAUGCCACCACUGGGGAGAUCCUGUUUGCUGCAUCACCACCAGCCAAGCCCCUGAAGGUGUUGGGGGGUGUUCAAGGCUUCCAGCGAGGCUUGUAGAUGGCAGCUGGUCAGGCUGACAGGAGAAUAGGCAGUCCAUGCUUCUUCUUUUUUUAAUGAAUCUAUUUAAAAGACUUUAAAAGGCUUUUAUGUUCCUUGCCCUACUCAUUUUUCCUUUGCCACAGAAAAGAAACCUCCUUCUCGCGUUCCAAGCGGCUGAAAGUGUUGGAAUCAAACCCAGUUUGGAGCUGAGUGAGAUCAUGUACACCGACCGUCCAGACUGGCAAAGCGUCAUGCAGUACGUGGCCCAGAUCUACAAAUACUUUGAGACUUGAGGCUGGCCAAGGAGGAGGAGCACGAGGGGCCACUGAAGAAAGACCACCCAAAGCACGCAAUCACUUUAGAAGAGCCCUCCCUCAGUUGAUUCCCGCUCGGCAAAGGAUGGCCCAUGCCAGAUGCCAAGAUGCGCCAGGGGGCGGGGGGGCCUUCUUGGCUGGAAACAUUUACAAGGGCAAAAUGCCCGACCGUGCCAAAAAGACACUUAAGGACAAGGGCCCAACCACGGGGCACAAGGGCUCCCGCAUAUCACUCAACGUAAAAACAAUUCUUGCUAUUCUUUCCCCCCACAAAACCACGCUGCCCCGGGCAGGCUUCUCUUUCGCCCUCUCCCCGGUGGGUCUCUCCCAGCAUGGCCUCAUCCCCAUGUUGAAAAAAAUGAGCAGCCGCCAGGAGCUGGAAACUCUGGACAAGCGCAGGGGCCUCCCUCCCAACCGUGCUGAAAUCCUCUUUCUGAGGGCCUCGGAGGCCACCAGCCGGGGCCCAGGGCCACAUCCGAACGGGAACCGGAAUUGCAGGAGGCUCCGUGCUCACCUUGGGAUGAUUAAUGGCCCAAAACCGGAUUCACCCCUCAGCAGUUGCGCCUUUCCCUUGGGGUGCUGUGAAAAUGGCAGGAGGGGCGUCAGACCCAGGCAAAGGAGGGUGACGUGGCCUGGUGUCACUUUUCAGCUGCUGCAUUAUUGGGGAGGAGUUCUCCAGUUCUCCUUUCCAUGCACAUCCACCGUCGGGUGGAUAGAGAGGCCCACGGAUCCACAGGGUUUGUAGACCUCGAGGAACAGGAAGAACUGUGGGGGGCAGAGGGACAGGGGCCUGAAACCCUGCGGUUGCCAGCCUUUUCCACCAGCCAGGGCUCCUCUGCUGUUCUUGCUGCAUUCCACCCGGCAGAAAUUCGGUCAGCCGCAUUUGUCCUUUGCAGGCCGUGGACGAAGAGAUGGGCAAAGGCUUUGCACGCUGAAUACCGACCAAGCGUGCAACUGAUAAGAGCCCAGGAGCCAUUCCAAAGACGUUGGCGACUCCUAAAGUCAGAGCCUCUGCAAAUCAGACGCGGAGGAGCCGGGUCCCUUCCGCCUGACCAGAACAGCGGCUCGGCCAGUCUGCAGCCUGAUUAAUAAGAGUCUGGCGGAUUUAUGUCCCUGUCCGGCCGAGCGCGCUGCGACUGUCUGAAGCGAUUGAGAUGGUGGAGACCCUCUGCCGCUUUUCAGCACCCUUCGGGGGUGGCCCGGCAACGUCGUCUGGGCAGGAGCCGGCCACGACCGGCAUCUCUGAACGGGUGGAACGUCGGAAUAGCUUGGGGUGACAAAAGAUGGUCCAAGGUACCGCGUGGGCUGUGGGCCGUAGCCUGAAUGCAGCCACGUAGACUGCCUUUGGGUUCCCAGAUCCCCGCCAAGUGCAAAAUGGCGGAAGGAGCCUGGGCCGUGGACAUGCC